rnacentral:rRNA from 1 species
GACGAACGCUGGCGGCGUGCUUAACACAUGCAAGUCGAACGGAAAGGCCCUGCUUUUGUGGGGUUCUCGAUUGGCGAACGGGUGAGUAACACGUUAGUAACCUGCCCUUGACUUUGGGAUAACUUCAGGAAACUGGGGCUAAUACCUGAUAGGAUCUCCUGCUGCAUUGUGGGGUUUGGAAAGUUUCGGCGGUUGGGGAUGUUCUCGCGGCUUAUCAGCUUGUUGGUGGGGUAGUGGCUUACCAAGGCUUUGACGGGUAGCCGGCCUGAGAGGGUGACCGGACAAAUGGGGACUGAGAUACGGCACAGAAUACUACGGGAGGCAGGAGUGGGGAAGAGUGCACAAUGGGAGGAAGCCUGAUGAAGCAAAGCCGCGUGCGGGAUGACGGCCUUCGGGUUGUAAACCGAUUUCGCAUGUGACGAAGCGUGAGUGACGGUAAUGGGUAAAGAAGCACCGGCUAACUACGUG